AGGGAGAGCUGCUGGAGACAGAUCAACAGAGAGGCGAAGCGGUGAAGCGAGGGUCGUAGUGACAUGGCUGAGAGCACUGAGACAAAACGGACCCUGGGUUUCCGUGCAAGGCGAUAUGGUGGUGCCAUGUAGUGGUGCUGUGACUUAUCUAACCGGAGAAGGAGCUGGCCUCACUUGUGCUAUCACUGUUAUUUAUGGCUGGUAGUGUGCUGCGUCGGUCCUAUGUGCUGUCCAGCCAAGCUGGAACAGCACAGUGGAUAACAACGGAGACACGAGCAGCAAGAACCCAGCACUGAGAUGCAAUCUGCUCAUCAUGCCUUUACAGGGCUGAAUGUGUCAAAAGUACUUACAAGAAUAAGAUAAUCUAAUUUGAUAAGGGAGAGGACAGAGGAGUAACACUGUGGGCACAGAUAUCAGGAGCAGAAAACAAAGGAGAGGCUGCAGCAGGCAUCUGCUACGGACCCCCAGGACUUCAGGAGAGAAAGAAAGAACAAAAAGAUUCCUGAACCAACUAUCAAAGAGCUUGCAAACACAGGAUACUUGUACUCAGGGGGCAUUUUAACCACCCAGACAUCUGUUGGGCGACAAACACAUCAAAACCCAGCCAGAAUGGUUUCUUAGUUAUGUAGAGGACAAUUUACAGAUGAAGGAAGUAGAAAGGCUCCAUGAAUCUACUCACCAGUAAAAAGAGACUCUUAAAAAAGCGACUGUAACAGGGGAAGUUUGGAGCCUGUGAUCACAAGCAACACAAAUUCACCAGAGUGAGGGCACAGCGGCAUGAGAUAUUUACUUCACAGCAAACAUUACAAGGGGAACUAAGGGACGCGUGUUGGCCAACAGCAGCAGAGCUGCAGCAGCUCAGGGAACUGCUUGCAAGCACCUUGCUCCAUCUGACAGCAUGGUGUCUACACGGACAGAGCGUUCUGAAUGGGGUGGAAAGAAGAGAAGCAGAAGAACCAUCCUCUGCACCAGAGACAGUCCUAAAUGUGGGCUGUGGACCUGGCCGGCAGAUACAGCAUGCCUCGAGGCUGCCAGAGGCACAUUUCUGCCUGGAGCAAGGGAAGUAAAGGCAGGCCCAGACUGCCUGCAAGAGCUUAGGUGCCGAGACAUUCCACAUCUUGUUGCGUGAACAGAAUUGUUCCCUGCACGUCACCAAGGAGCUGAGCACAUCCAAACAACCAGCUUGAAGCGCAUCCCCAGAUCCCUUCGACAGUACACCAAAAGCAGAGCCCCAGAGAGAGAUCUCUGCAUGGCCGGGCUAUUUCUCAGCUUUGGCUCCUGCUCUUCUCCCACGGAUGCAGGGGCACAUCCGUGCCAUCACGUGAAAAGGGCUUUCACAACAUCCAGAGACACAAAACAGGAUUGCACAACUUGGAGAUGCAAAAGUAAACAGCUCUGACAAGUCAGCAGAGGGGCUUUCCCAGCGUGAAAAGCUCAUUUGGGCUUCUGGAAAGGAAAGUAAGAAGUGUAUUGGAGGUUUUUGGGAAGGGUCUGGAAAAGGUGCUCCAGGCAGAGCCACCGACUUUGGGGCACAAGCAAGAAGGGGUUGCAUGCAGCCCCCCCAAAGCGCUCCCUCCCAUGCAGCCCAGCCUGAGCAGCUCUGUAACAAGGUUUUGGCACUGUGUAAUGGGGUUCAAAACUAAAAUAAACACAGAAAUCUGCCUCCUUUGGCAUUUAAAGGACCUAAAUUCCCUUGAAGGGGUGGGAGGCAGCAUGAAGCUCUGUUUCUUUUCCAGAAUGAUCCAGGCGAUGAAGGGAUAUGCCAUCCCCUGCUUCCCACACCAAGAGCAAGGACCUCCUCAGCCCUCACUGUUACUUCAAGCAGAUGCAGAACCCGAAGAUUUGCAACUUCAAACAACAGAACUUUAAAAAAUACUGUCACCUGGGGACAGGAAAAGCUCCCCUGCUUUCAGCCACAUUCCCAAAGGUGGCUCCCACAUUUUGGUGUUAGCUGGCACACAUGGUUUUCUAUUUUACUUAUGCAAACACAGCUCUGGAUACACGAAUGUCCACAUUUCACAGGUGCUGUCUUUAAAGUACUCAGGAAAAACACAGCCAUUAAAAAAGGAAGGAAAAGAAAGUAGUAGCAGCCAUACACCACCCCUCUGCAGGGAGCAGCUCUGGACAUCUUGCCCUUUAUUUACUGAAAAGAAGACAACAUCUUUUCUCAGGGCUGAAACCCCUAUUGCAGUUCCAACACGUGUCUAUUUAUCAGGAGAAAAGCUGAAUAUUUCCACUAUCACAAGAUUAUUGCCAGUGCUCGGAUUUUUCCCUAACCUCCAGCUAAAAUCCUCUGAGCUAACGCUCUGAAAAUGGAACGGCAUACCAAAUCUGCGCUCUGGCUCUCAGAGGUGGAGGCCCACCCUUUCUCCCAAUAAACAAUUUUGCAUACGUUUAAACCUCCCUCCUCUGGUUUCCCAACUCCUCCUGCCUGACCCCCCCAGCAAAGAAAUUACGGAAAUCUGUCAUUUCUCUCUUUUCCCUCGCACCUCCAUCUAUCAGUGUUUCGAAGGCAGUCUCCUCAAAUGCAGAGCAGAGCAGGAGAUGGGCAGCGGUAAUGGGAAUGUGCUCCUGACUGUGCAAACCCACACAGAGAGUGAGGACAGGAGAGACUGCAUUUGCAUACAUAUUAAACGAGAGCAGUAAAAAAUGCAGACGUGCAAACCAUUUGGACAUGGCUCGCCUCGGCAAUGUGCCCUGCAAGGGAAUCAAUCUUCUGCAUUCUUAAAGGGAAAAACCUGUUACGGAGCGAAAAGCAAAGCCAGAAAGACGUCCGCUUACAAACACGGUCAAGGUUUGAAGACGAUCUGACCUUCUGCCUUUGCCAACCACGACCUGCUGUGCAAAGGUACACAUAGGAGGGUGAGACCUGGCAUGAACCAACUGCUGUCACUGGUGAGAGAUCUCCCAGGACCCCAUCCUGAGUGGGAACUGGAGCAAGAGUUCCAAGCUCCACGUGCCCACCUGUGAGGGCAACGCAGAGACCUUCCUGAGAUGGCCCAAGCCAGGCUGCAGGGAAGAACUAAGUGACAUCUGGAUAUGCUGAAGAAGCCCAAACCCUGUGUCCCAGUGCCUUCACCUACUGAAAAGUGCACCGAGUCAUGGGAAGCAAAGCAGUACCUCAUCAUCCUCUGCUUCUCUACCAACCUCCAGAACCAACAAAUAAGCCCUGGAUGGAAAAGCAGACAAAACGCGCUUCCCAGCAGCCCGUCCAGUGUGGAUUCUCUGGUGUCUCGUAAAGGAAAGGGCAGCGGAGAGAAUCGCAAAGAGGGAACCCGGGGGUUUCCCCCCAGAAGUGGGAUCUGUGCCUCGCCAGAGACACGAAGGCAGAGCAAAGCAGAGUUCAAGAAAACAUCAGAAAGACGUUAUUGAAUAGCUGUCAUUUGGCAAGUAUAAAUGUAUCAGCGAUUGUGUUGAUAGGAGGCUCUUAUCAAUGCAGAUUAAUUUGAUAAUUGCCCGUGCAGAGAAAGAAAACAAACCAACUAAGUCCAUUGCCACUGACAUCCGAAACGCCUCCCUUGGUUAAAUGAAUUUCCUUUUUUAACUUAUCUUGAAGUAAUACGAAAGUUAUGGUGUAGCCACAAUCAAAAACCACCCCCCCCCAUGUUAUUCCCUUUUUGACCUAUCUUAUUUUUGGCAUCAGCCCGACAGCCCGGAGCAAUGGAGGGCCAAGGGCUUUAUUUGUCCCUUGGGGGAGGAUGAAAAGGCUGUAGAAAAAAUGGCAGUUUUGCUGAGGAUCCCAUCCUUCAGCCUCCCCACGGUGCAGCUCACACGUCCCACACUGGCGGCUGCAGGGAGCGCGUGCUGGGGCAGCACUCAGCGAUGUCAAACGCACCCUGCAAAUGGCCCCAGAUGACAUUUUUAGAGAGGCUCUGUUAUCGGAGCCUACGGAAUUAGCACCGUGCAACAUCCUCGGGCUGCAAGACGGCUCCUGCCAACGUCAAUGGCGGUGUGGUAUGGAGAUCAAAGGUAAAGCGCAGCCAAGGAACUGGUUUGGCUGGUGGGAAAGCAUGGGGGGAGCAGCCCCACCGAACCUCAAAAUGCUCCGGAAUGAAGACUUAUCCCUUGCCACUUGCCUAAAUUAGGCAACCUACGUGUGCAAUUCUUCAGGAAUACCCGCGAGUCGUUUAUCUGAAAAUGCAGCGCUAAAAGCAUUGCCCUUCUGACGAAGAGUUAAUCGCCCUGGGAAUAAAUCAGAGGUCUCACCCAUGCUGUGGGACUUCUCCCAGUGACACCACGUUCCCACUUGGAAACGAGUUUCUUUGUUUGCUUUUCCCCAGUUAUAUAAGGGACAUAAAUUUUUUGUUGCGGAGAGAACUCCAGGCAAUCCGCAUCUCCCUCCAAGGCGUUUCACUGUGGUUCAGCUUGAACACUGCUGCUGUUGCUGCAGUUUUCCAGCUUCUGCCUAUGUCUGCACUAAACCCCCCGCCCCAGGAAGUAACAGCCCGCAUGAAACAUCACUGCCUGACUCCAACCCCACAGAGCAAAGCCCUUUUGCACCCGCUGAUCCCUAUCCUACAAAGCAAAGAGGUUGAGAACAGAGAAGCUUAGGCCAGCACGAGGACGUGCCCAGCGAUGCUCCCCUGUGCAAGAGCAAUUUGGGUGAUCAAAGCGGUGGAACCCAAGCAAACUCUGCUUUGCCACUUGACCCUUUUCCACAUCUCCCACAGCCCCCGGCUUUGCUCUCCUGGCAGCUCUGAGCUCCCCAGCCCCAUCCCUCAGCUCUGAAGGGGAGAGCUGGGGAGGGGAGGCCAUGCCGGGAAGGUCUCAGCGAGGGCUGGGAAGGUCUCAGCAAGGGCUGGGUGCUCACGGCCGGCCGGCGCCGCAUUGCACGCAUACCAGCAAACCUCAGCAGCCCCGGAAGGGGAGCGCGGAUGCUCCCAGGCCAGGCUGCAAGGAAGUCUUAACCCCUUCCCCACUAUGGCCAAGAGGCUCCUUGAGAGCUGGAAGUCAGUGGGAGAGAGGAAUUCACUUAAAGGCCGAGCAUCCCGAUGCCACAUCCCUCCCUUCCUCAUGCUAGUCUAAAAAAUCCCUGGGAACACGGCUCUCCUCUUCCCCUUCCCAUGGCCCCGAGGGGGGGCAGGGGACAAUCCUCAGCCCUAGCCAGAAGCCAUAUGUGCUCCCAGCACAGCCCAGGUGCUGCAGAGCCCAGGGUACCUCUGCCCAGAGUCAAGGACUGUGAAACCCAUGCCCUCGGGGACCCAAGGGAUGGCCGCAGGCUGGUGAGGUUCACUCUGCACCCUGAGGGCACUGUUCGCUCCCGUGUUAACAGUGCCUAAAAUCAUGACAUCAAGGAGGGCUUCUCAUCAAUGUGGGUGAAGGAGAAACCCCCCAAAUGGGGUUUGCCCUCAGGUGGGUCAGUGUGAUCCCCCUGUGACUCAAGGCAGGUUGCUGCACAUGGCUGACUGCACCAGCCAAGUGCCACCCCACAUCCCUGUGUGCCCAGGGAUAUCUGGCCACCCCAUCUCCACAGCCCCUUUCUCAGCACAGUUUCUCACAACAGCUUAUUUAGUGCAGCAAAACCACACUUGUAGAUCCAACACUACAGCAAAGACUUUUCCUUUUUUUUUUCCCCUUCCUUUUUUUUUUUUUUUUUGUUCUGAUUAAGAGGAAAUGAAUGGACCAAACCCUUCCCAGCACCAGUAAGAUCCCUGAAACCCGUGGCUGAGCAGAAGGAGCAGCAGCACUCAGGGCUGCCCUCCCGGCACAGCACAGGGCCGGCGCUGCCCUUCGGCCCGGCUCAGUUCUCUCCAGCAGCACUGGGAUCAGAUCAGGCCCAACAGGAUUAACCACAUAACAGCGAGGGGAAAGCAGAUUUGCCGUCUGAAAAGAAAGGCACAAAACACACCCAGCCACCGAAGCCGGCGUUAAAGGACCUCGGUUCAGAAGUUGCCACCGAAUUUAGCUUUUCUAAAACUGAGGUUUCGGAUUUUUGCAAGAUCGAAUCAGACCCCUUCAACACAAAUUAAUAACCAAAGGCCCACAGAAAUGUUUCCGUAAACUAUUCCUUAAAUCCGAAGGAAACCAUUUGUUUAAAUGAAGCAAGUGUUCCCCUGCAGAGCCGGCACUCCAGUAACUGCAGUGCGAUGAUAGAAAAUGGGGCCGGGUAGUAAAAAUAACUUAAAACUAUUCUAAACAACCAGCAAGCUGAGUAAUCUGUUUCAAAGUCCAAGUGGAGACAUCCCGGUGACAGGGCCCACAGAAAACGCGAAGGUGCAUAGUUAAAAGGGGAGGGGAGCAACCAAAACAAACAGUAAAAAUAGUACGAAUUCCUUCAGAUGCUAUUGGUGACAAAAGAUGAAAGCUGGGAUUUUCAUCCUCUUUCCAACAUCCCUGCUGCUGCCAGGCCCGGGGGCUUCUCCAGCGCUCCAUCACGCUCCUAACGCCAAUCCCUGGGUGUGGAGCAAACACUGAACACCGGAGCACCGUGUUCCUCCGAGAAAUCAAAGGGGAAUACAGGCACCCUCUCCCCAGCUGGUAGCAGCCAGCACAACCCCAUGAAGAACAAGGGAAGGAAAGGCCAAGCCCUGAUCUCUCGGGCUUUUGUGCUCCAGUCUUACUUGUAUACACUGCUCUCACGUUACAAAACGUGUAUGUCGCUGUACUGAUGGCAAGGUGCCAUGGGCAUAAAUACAUUCGUAUCUGGACAAAGGAUCUGUCCUCAAGUCAGGAUCUUCAUUAAAAAUGAGUUUGUAAGCA